GAGAGAGGGCGCACCAUUGUCCGGCCGGGGCUGCAGGCCGCAGGAACGUGCCAGGAUGCCGGCCCGCACGGCACAGCCCAGAGCCGGCCUUUGUGCGCCCACGCCGGGCAGCCCGGCCGCCCCAUAAAUAGCAGUGAGCUCACUGCUGGGGCCAGACCGGACUCCGGAGACCAGGAUUCCAGCCCGUGACGGGGCCACCUGUCCCCCACGACGCCCUCAGGGCGGGCUUUUAUCGGCAGGCAGACUGCUUUGACUAUUUGGGGCCGGCUGCCGCCCCAGCAGCAGGGCGGGGGGCCUCAGUGCCAACGGCUACUGUGAGCACGCACGCGCCCAUGGGACGCCCCGGGAUGGCAACGCCACCUUGCCCCGCGCUUUCGCCCUCCGUGGAAACGGGACCACGCGAGAGAUUCAUACAAGCCCCAGCCGGGUGCUCACGGCCGACGUCACCGUGGCACCUCAUCCGUGAGCUCCUCCUCCUCCACCCACACCCCUGAUCGCGCGAUCGCCUCCGACGGACCCGGCCAGGGGCGCCCUGCGAGUUACCGGCCCGGCCCUCUCAAAACGGCCAAGUCGUCAGAAGCAAGGGGAGUGUGCGAAGGUACCACAGCAAAGAGGCGCAGAGGAGGUGCGUCGUCCCGCAAGAGAAGCGGAACACGAGAGAGAAAACACACGUGUUUCCCCGGUGUCGGUGCGUUCGGAGAACAGCCGUCCCCCAGGGACUUCUGCCAAGGCUGCUGCACAGAGACAGCGGUGGCCACUGUCUUUCCUGAGAAGGUCAUUCCCAAGGUGGACAGAACCCAGGGCUGCCUGCUUCCUCCCUCAGCGGACUCAACAGGAAUUCAGCCCCUCGGAUGUAACUUCCUUCUGAAGCACCCCUUUACUUUUAUCCAUCUUUGGAAAGAGUUCAGCCUUUCCUGAGUCUAGAAAAGUCCUGUAAGGGUCCAGCCAAAGUCAGCAGAGUAAGGUAGGGCCUUUCCACAAAGCCACGGCCCCACGCCUCCCUUGUCUGCAGGGCGGAUCCUGCCGGCUUUCCCCUGUCCCCACUGCUCUUUAGCCAUGAGCUCUGGGCAGGUCCUCGCUGGGGACCCAAACUUUCUGCUUUCCUGAACAUGGAUGGGCUUGUCCACCUGUGAACCCCUCCAGCCAUCUCCCAGUGUCUGGGGCAGCCUACCUCUCCUAUCAAGGUCACGUCAUUUUGAGCCCAGAGGAAGCCAAGAGGAAGGUGUGUGGGUGAGGUACAGGGAAGGAAAAUUCUGGGAUUUCUGGUGGCCCUUCACCCACGAGGUGCACACAGGGGAAUGGAGAGGACAGACCACACACCCAGGAAUGACAAGAUAAGCCAAUGGGGUAGGAAGAAACAGGGGACAUUUACUUUCAGUUUCUCAUACCUUUUUUUUUUGAAAUCACAGCUUUGUCGAGACAUAAUUCACAUACCAUACAAUUCACCCAUUCGGAGUGUACAAUUCAGUGGUUUUUAGUGUAUUCACAGAGUUGUGCAACCAUCGCCGAGAUCUAAUUUUGGAACAUCCUCAUCACCCCAAAGAGAAACCCCAUGCCCACUUGCAGCCACUCCACAUCCGCCUCCCUGGCAACCACUAAUCCACUGUCUGUCUCUUUGGAAAAGUCUGGACUUUUCACGUAGAUGGAGUCGUACACUGUGUGGUCUUCUGUGACUGGCUCCCUUCUCUUGGUGCCAUGUUUUCAAGACUCCUCCCGACAGUAACAAAUACCAGCGUUUCGUCCAUUUUAAGGCUACGAUAUAUCCCAUUGUAUGGAUAUACCACAGUCUGUUUACCCACUCCUCAGCUGAUGGGUAGUGAGGGUCGUUCGCGCUCUUUGGCUACUAUUGCUGGUGUGAACAUUCAUGUGCCAUCUGUGUGUGCGCGGACUUAUGCUAGCGUUUCUCUUGGACAUACGC
ensembl:lncRNA